CUUAAUCUAAAUAUUAAGAUAAGGUAAGAGAAAAUAAUGAUAUUAUCUUACUAUUAGUGUCGUCUAAAUUUGGUGCCAGAAGACUCGGUAAGACCUUAGACGCAAACGUUAAUCGUCAUAAUCAGGCGUAAAGGGUGUGUAGGCUGCUUUAAAAAAUAUAAUAAGUAAUAUAAUUAUUAUAGCAAAAAAAUUAUAUUUUAAUAAAAGCUAGAAUCUAAAAGAGGGUAAGCUAAACAACAUAAUUAACUGGGACUGACAACUUAUAAUAAUGUGGAGUACUAAAGGUUAAAGCUAUUUAUCUACUGAAGAUUGACGCUGAGAAACGAAGGGGAGAAUAAGAAACUUAGAUUAGAGACCUAAUUAUCUCUCUCAGUCAACGAUGAAUGGUAGUUAUUAAAAAUUUUAUAAUUUUAGUAACGAGGUUAACACGAUGACCAUUCCGCCUUGUUAGUAAGACUGCAAAGUUGAAAACAAAAAAAUUAGUCGGUCUUGAAGCAAACGAAGUGAAGCAUGUUAUUUAAUUCGAUAAUCCGCCC
rnacentral:rRNA from 1 species